UACGUAGGGUGCAAGCGUUAUCCGGAAUUAUUGGGCGUAAAGAGCUCGUAGGCGGUUUGUCGCGUCUGCUGUGAAAACUGGAGGCUCAACCUCCAGCCUGCAGUGGGUACGGGCAAACUAGAGUGCGGUAGGGGAGAUUGGAAUUCCUGGUGUAGCGGUGAAAUGCGCAGAUAUCAGGAGGAACACCGAUGGCGAAGGCAGGUCUCUGGGCAUUAACUGACGCUGAGGAGCGAAAGCAUGGGGAGCGAACAGG
rnacentral:rRNA from 1 species